rnacentral:lncRNA from 1 species
UUUUGUUUCUUUAAUGUUAUUUUGAGCUCUGGGCAGUGGUUAAUUAAAGUUGCGCUCCUGAUGCCAGCCACAGGUGCAACUUAAACCAUUCUCAGCAGAACGGUAAUAGAGGUUGCUCAAAAGGAACUAAAGGAAUUAAAGAGUUAAAACUGAAGCCAGCACUUAGCGUCCUCUCACCAGCCAUCACCUCUGGUCAGCCAUCAAAGAGGAGUGUAUCAUUAGCGGCCUUGAGGCCUAAUUCCUAACAGACCUGUGUGGUGGCCCUGAGGGCCUACACCUAGUAACCAAGGGGUUAAAGGAGACCUAUGGAACAAGAAGCUUUUCAAGAGGCUGAGAGACCACGGAUGCCAAUGAGAGAGAGCACUAGACCUGGCCUGCAGGCCAGGAGAGAGGCCUCUAGGCUCUCUUGGCCUCUCUGUCUCAAGACCUCUAGUCCAGCUUCAAGGUCUUCAGGCUUCUUGAGCUGUAGGUGUCCAGACCUCGAGGUACAAGUACAAUCCCCAGCUCCUCUUGGCCUCUGCUCUUCUAGGCUUUCUCUUGUUUGGCCCCCAUGCCUCCCUUUGGCCUCAAGACUACUAAGCUGCAAGGCCUCUUGGCCAGGCUCUGGGCCUCCCUCCAGGCUGUUUUACCUUAAAGCCCUCUCAGCCUGCUCUUUUUUGGCUGUGUCCAAUAGAACCACCAGCUCGCCUCUUAGAUGGCUCUGUCCCAUAAUCCCCACAGCCUUAGCGCCACGUAUAGCUUAUGGACACCAUAAACUUCUGUUUUGCCUACAAGCUAUGGUUCUCUAAGGUUCCCCAUGGGGCUUUUACACAAACGGCCAGGGACAGAAUGGGGCUGUUUUCUGUCCCUUCUUUAUCACCUGGCCCCUCUCAGUCUGUCAGGGGCAGUACCCCACAGGAACCAUGAGAUUACCAAAAGGAAACAAGUCAAGAGAGUCAUAGAGCACAUAAGAACAACAGGGAGCAAUAGAGAACCCAUUGGGAGCGGCAAGGGAAGCAAAUACAUGACUCAUAUGGGAGCUAUACUGACACACUCACACAUGUACCUGCAGGGACCAUAUUAGUGCAUAGGGGAACAUACUGCCUGUAAGCAACCAAUCUUGUGCCCCACAAGCCCAGUUACCGAUGAACGUUCAGCACCACUCGGUUCCUUCUA